rnacentral:tRNA from 1 species
GGGGUUGUGGCUCAGUGAUGGAGCACUUGCCUCACACAUAUGAGGCACUGGGUUCAAUCCUCAGCACCACA